GACGAACGCUGGCGGCAUGCCUAACACAUGCAAGUCGAACGAGACCUCCGGGCCUUUUGGCGCAUGGGUUCGGCACGGGUGGGAAUCUGCCCUUGGGUUGGGAAUACCUGAGAGAAAUUUCAGCUAAUACCUUAUAAUGUCUUAGGACCAACGAUUUCUUGCCGCGGGAUGGGCCCGCGUAGGAUUCGGUAGUUGGUAGGGUAAUGGCCUACUACGCGCUGGAUGCUUAGCUGGUUUGAGAGGAUGGUUAGCAACGCUGGGACUAAGACACGGCCUAGACUCCUACGGAAGGGAGGAGAGGGGAAUAUUGGACAGUGGGGGGAGGCAUGAUGCAGCUAUGCCGGGAGAGUGAUGAAAGCAGUAGGGUACUAAUGCUCUUUUAACCGGGAUGAUAAUGACGGUACCGGGUGAAUAAGCUCCGGCUAACUACGUG
rnacentral:rRNA from 1 species